AGUGAACGCUGGCGGCAGGCCUAAUACAUGCAAGUCGAGCGAGCGGCGGACGGGUGAGUAAUGUAUGGGGACCGCCCGAUAGCGGGGGGUCAAUAGUGGAAACGGUCGGCAAAAACGCAUACUAACGGAUAACCCAUAUGGGAUUAGCUAGUAGGUGGGGUAAUGGCUCACCUAGGCGACGAUGCCUAGCGGGUCUGAGAGGAUGAUCAGUAACACUGGGACUGAGACAAGGACCAGACUCCAAGGGAGGCAGCAGUGAGGAAUAUUGCAGAAGGGGCGGAAGCGUGAUGCAGCCACGCCGGGUGUAUGAAGAAGGCCCUCGGGGUGUAAAGUACUUUCAGUUGGGAAGCGUUACCUAAAGAAGAAGCACCGGCUAACUCCGUGCCAGCAGCCGCGGUAAUAC
rnacentral:rRNA from 1 species